rnacentral:lncRNA from 1 species
GAGCAUCAGAAUCAAGGUCGAAGCCGAAAUCAAAAUCAAAACCAAAACUGAAGCAGAAAUUAAGACCGAUCCAAAGUCCAGAAAUAAGCCAAUCCGAAAUCAGAUCCUGAUCGAUCUGAAGUCAGAAGUAAGGCCGAAGCCAAAGUCAAAAUCAAGGAUGAAGCCGAAGUAGAAACUAAGGUCAAUCCAAAGUCCAAAAAUAGGCCAAUUCAAAGUC